GAUGAACGCUGACAGAAUGCUUAACACAUGCAAGUCUACUUGAAUUUGGGUUUUUUCCCUUAGAUUUGGGUGGCGGACGGGUGAGUAACGCGUAAAGAACUUGCCUCACAGCUAGGGACAACAUUUGGAAACGAAUGCUAAUACCUGAUAUUAUGAUUAUAAGGCAUCUUAGAAUUAUGAAAGCUAUAUGCGCUGUGAGAGAGCUUUGCGUCCCAUUAGCUAGUUGGAGAGGUAACGGCUCACCAAGGCGAUGAUGGGUAGCCGGCCUGAGAGGGUGAACGGCCACAAGGGGACUGAGACACGGCCCGUACUCCUACGGGAGGCAGCAGUGGGGAAUAUUGGACAAUGGACCAAGAGUCUGAUCCAGCAAUUCUGUGUGCAAGAUGAAGUUUUUCGGAAUGUAAAGUGCUUUCAGUUGGGAAGAAAAAAAUGACGGUACCAACAGAAGAAGUGACGGCUAAAUACGUG
rnacentral:rRNA from 1 species